rnacentral:misc_RNA from 1 species
UCAACCUAGUAGGGACGUGUCCCUGCGCCCAACGACUUUUGUCGGGAUCGUGGCAAGUCUGCGAUCCAGGGGGUGAUGUUGAGAGCCGGAAGGCAAGGGGGUGCAAACACUAGUUGAACUUUGUCCCGAUUGCCGAGUGUUAUGUGCUUGAUGUCCAAGGCUUGAUGCUGAUCCUCCAAUUGGGGCUUGUCCCUGCACCAAUGGCUUUUGCCAGGAUCAUGGCGUUUGUUGUGAUCGAAAAAAUGAGGGGGUGAUGUUUAGAGCCGGAAGGCAAGGGGGUGCAAACACCAGUCGGCCUUUGUCCCGAUUGCUGAGUGUUAUGUGCUUGACGUCCAAGGCUUGAUGCUGACCCUCCAAGUGGGGGCUUUUUUGUUCCUGCGGUAACGACUCUGUUGGGAUCAUUGUGAUCAAGUUUGGUUGGUUUCGUAUUGUGGUGGGUUUUUUCGAAGCUUAUAUCGUUCUUUUACGCAUCGUGCGGUGCAUCUUGGGGGCUGUUUUGGCUUUUGGUUGCUUGCUUGGGCUUUAUGCUAGGCGGGUGGCUAAU